rnacentral:misc_RNA from 1 species
GCAAACUUGGUCAUUUAGAGGAAGUAAAAGUCGUAACAAGGUCUCCGUUGGUGAACCAGCGGAGGGAUCAUUACAGAGUUUACAGAACUCCUAAACCCCUGUGGACGUACCUCACGUUGCCUCGGCAGCAUCGCGCCUACGCGGUGGCGACCUACCCUGUGGGAACCUACCCUGUGAGAACCUACCCUGUAGGAACUUACCCGGUGGGAACCUACCCUGUGGGGACCUACCCUGUAGUUCGCGGGUCAGCCUGCCGGUGGACCACUAAACUCUGUCUAUUAUAGAAUAUCUGAACCUAUAACUUAAUACGUUAAAACUUUCAACAACGGAUCUCUUGGUUCUGGCAUCGAUGAAGAACGCAGC